CGGAGCCUCGUGCCAGACCACGCGCCCCGGGGCCCCCUGGGCCGAGCCUGCGGAGCCCCUCUCUCCCUUGAGUGGGAAGGGCUGGCGUCCGCGGGCUCCACCUGCUGGCGCUUCUUCCACCGUAAAUAGGUGUCCCCUCUCACUGUCGGGGAAUCUGACUUUGGGGAAGUCCACGGUCCCGCAGGAAGUGGACUCACAGGACGUGUGCCGUCCGCGCAGAGCAGGGAGUACCGUGUGCGCCCCGUCCGCCCGUAGCGGCCCGGCGUCGCUCGGCCGUGAGCUCGCCAUCCGGGAGCCGUGGGGCCAGCAGAGAAGUGGCUGAUCUUGCCCCUCGGACCCGCCAUGUCGUUCCAGACAGCGGACGACUGCCUGGGUCAGGGGGCAGCACGGUGUGCGGAAGUGCGGUGAAAGGGUGUCCUAUGCUGAUGUCACACAGCAAGGAAGGACAGGCACACGACCGUCACAAGCCCCUUGAACUCUGUGAUAUUAAAUUGUGAAAUGUGAUAAACACAACGUGGUCAUUAA